AAUUAACGCUGGCAGAGUGCAUAACACAUGCAAGUCGAGCGGGGCUGUCUGAGAUUACAUCAACUGGCAGCCAAGCGGCAAACGAGUGAGUAACACGUAAGUAAUCUGCCCCUGAAAGGCGAACAACCAGCCGAAAGGUUGGCUAAUACGCCGUACAAUCCCUGGAAGGCAUCUUCCGGGGAUGAUAGGCCCGCAAGGGCCGUUCAGGGAGACUUGCGCCAUCAGCUAGUUGGCGGUGUAACGGACCACCGAAGGCUAUGGACGGGGUA
rnacentral:rRNA from 1 species